rnacentral:rRNA from 1 species
GUCCAGACUCCUACGGGAGGCAGCAGUGGGGGAUAUUGGACAAUGGGGGAAACCCUGAUCCAGCGACGCCGCGUGAGUGAAGAAGUCUUUCGGUAUGUAAAGCCCUAUCGGCAGGGAAGAAAUUGGACGGUACCUGACUAAGAAGCCCCGGCUAACUACGUGCCAGCAGCCGCGGGAAUACGUAGGGGGCAAGCGUUAUCCGGGUUCACUGGGUGUAAAGGGAGCGUAGACGGCCAUGCAAGCCUGGAGUGAAAGCCCGGGGCCCAACCCCGGGACUGCUCUGGGAACUGUGCGGCUGGAGUGCGGGAGGGGCAGGCGGAAUUCCUGGUGUAGCGGUGAAAUGCGUAGAUAUCAGGAGGAACACCGGCGGCGAAGGCGGCCUGCUGGACCGCGACUGACGUUGAGGCUCGAAAGCGUGGGGAGCAAACAGGAUUAGAUACCCCAGUAAC